AGAGUUUGAUCAUGGCUCAGAACGUACGCUGGCGGCACGCCUAACACAUGCAAGUCGAACGAAGUAGCAAUACUUAGUGGCAGACGGGUGAGUAACAUGUAGGUAUCUGCCCUUUGGCCUGGAAUAACACGAGGAAACUUGUGCUAAUACCGGAUAAGUCUUUACGGAGAAAGCUUUAUGCACCAUUGGAUGAGCCUGCACUUGAUUAGUUUGUUGGUGGGGUAAUGGCCUACCAAGACUGUGAUCAAUAGCUGAUUUGAGAGGAUGAUCAGCCACAUUGGGACUGAGACACGGCCCAAACUCCUACGGGAGGCAGCAGUGGGGAAUCUUGCACAAUGGAGGAAACUCUGAUGCAGCGAUGCCGCGUGAGUGAAGAAGGCCUUUGGGUUGUAAAGCUCUUUCGUCGGGGAAGAAAAUGACUGUACCCGAAUAAGAAGGUCCGGCUAACUUCGUGCCAGCAGCCGCGGUAAUACGAAGGGACCUAGCGUAGUUCGGAAUUACUGGGCUUAAAGAGUUCGUAGGUGGUUGAAAAAGUUGGUGGUGAAAUCCCAGAGCUUAACUCUGGAACUGCCAUCAAAACUUUUCAGCUAGAGUAUGAUAGAGGAAAGCAGAAUUUCUAGUGUAGAGGUGAAAUUCGUAGAUAUUAGAAAGAAUACCAAUUGCGAAGGCAGCUUUCUGGAUCAUUACUGACACUGAGGAACGAAAGCAUGGGUAGCGAAGAGGAUUAGAUACCCUCGUAGUCCAUGCCGUAAACGAUGUGUGUUAGACGUUGGAAAUUUAUUUUUCAGUGUCGCAGCGAAAGCGAUAAACACACCGCCUGGGGAGUACGACCGC
rnacentral:rRNA from 1 species